rnacentral:rRNA from 1 species
CCUACGGGGGGCAGCAGUGAGGAAUAUUGGUCAAUGGACGCAAGUCUGAACCAGCCAUGCCGCGUGCAGGAUGACGGCUCUAUGAGUUGUAAACUGCUUUUGUACGAGGGUAAACGCAGAUACGCGUAUCUGUCUGAAAGUAUCUUACGAAUAAGGAUCGGCUAACUCCGUGCCAGCAGCCGCGGUAAUACGGAGGAUUCAAGCGUUAUCCGGAUUUAUUGGGUUUAAAGGGUGCGUAGGCGGUCGGAUAAGUUAGCGGUGAAAUCCGGAGGCUCAACUUCGGAAUUGCCUCUGAUACUGGUCGGCUAGAGAGUAGUUGCGGUAGGCGGAAUGUAUGGUGUAGCGGUGAAAUGCUUAGAGAUCAUACAGAACACCGAUUGCGAAGGCAGCUUACCAAGCUACUUCUGACGUUGAGGCACGAAAGCGUGGGGAGCGAACAGGAUUAGAUACCCCGGUAGUC